AACGAACGCUGGCGGCAUGCCUAACACAUGCAAGUCGAACGAAACCUUCGGGUCUAGUGGCGCACGGGUGCGUCACGCGUGGGAAUCUGCCCUUCGGUUGGGCAUACCUGAGAGAAAUUUCAGCUAAUACCUUAUAAUGUCUUCUGACCAAAGAUUUAUCGCCGCGGGAUGAGCACGCGUAGGAUUCGGUAGUUGGUGGGGUAAUGGCCUCCCAGGCCGAGGAUUCUUAGCUGGUCUGAGAGAAUGAUCAGCAACACUGGGACUGAGACACGGCCCAGACUCUUACGGGAGGGGGGAGAGGCGGAUAUUGGAACACGGGGGAAGGCAUGAAGGUGCUAGGACGGGAGAGUGCUGAAGGCAGUAGGGAUGUAAAGCGCUUUUAACCGGGAUGAUAAUGACGGUACCGGGAGAAUAAGCUCCGGCUAACUACGUG
rnacentral:rRNA from 1 species